rnacentral:rRNA from 1 species
UCUUAAUUAUAACUUAAAAAAUUUAUUUAUUUAUGAAUUUUUAUUUUUUAAUUAAUAAUUUUAUUGGGGUGAUAAAAAAAUUUGAAUAACUUUUUAUUUAUAAUACAUAAAUUUAUGGGUAGGUGAUCUAGAAUUUUUAAUUUAAAGAAAAAGU